SUUGUGCGAGUCAUGGGUCUCGAAUAAGCCCAGAGGCGCAAUGAAAGCGAAGCCGGAGGACUCCGGCCGUGUCGGGAUCCCCGCCCCUUUGCGUGCGGGGCGCACCGACGACCCGCCUUGAUCCUCUCGUGGAUGAGGCGGAGUCUGAGCGCACACGUUGUGACCCGAAAGAUGGUGAACUAUGCCCGGACAGGACGAAGCCAGAGGAAACUCUGGUGGAGGUCCGUAGCGGUUCUGACGUGCAAAUCGAUCGUCAGAUCUGGGUCUAG
rnacentral:rRNA from 1 species